UUAAUGUUUCUUUUAAAAGAGGAGAGGCUGGCGAAGCUGGUUGGAGGAAGUAUUUAUUAUUAGUUGUUUUUUUUUGGUUUUUUUUUUUGGGGGGGGGGGUUAUUCUAGAAGGCAAACAGCUAAAAUGUCACUUGAAACAUGAUUAAACACCAUGGGUAUAUUUCAUGCCGCGAUUGAAUGCAUUGCAGUCAUUGGCUAAUU